GAAUUCGCCCUUAGAGUUUGAUCCUGGCUCAGGAUGAACGCUGGCGGCGCGCCUAACACAUGCAAGUCGAACGAGCGAGAGAGAGCUUGCUUUCUCGAGCGAGUGGCGAACGGGUGAGUAACGCGUGAGGAACCUGCCUCAAAGAGGGGGACAACAGUUGGAAACGACUGCUAAUACCGCAUAAGCCCACGGCUCGGCAUCGAGCAGGGGGAAAAGGAGCAAUCCGCUUUGAGAUGGCCUCGCGUCCGAUUAGCUAGUUGGUGAGGUAAUGGCCCACCAAGGCGACGAUCGGUAGCCGGACUGAGAGGUUGAACGGCCACAUUGGGACUGAGACACGUCCCAGACUCCUACGGGAGGCAGCAGUGGGGAAUAUUGCACAAUGGGGGAAACCCUGAUGCAGCGACGCCGCGUGGAGGAAGAAGGUCUUCGGAUUGUAAACUCCUGUUGUUGGGGAAGAUAAUGACGGUACCCAACGAGGAAGUGACGGCUAACUACGUGCCAGCAGCCGCGGUAAAACGUAGGUCACAAGCGUUGUCCGGAAUUACUGGGUGUAAAGGGAGCGCAGGCGGGAAGACAAGUUGGAAGUGAAAUCUAUGGGCUCAACCCAUAAACUGCUUUCAAAACUGUUUUUCUUGAGUAGUGCAGAGGUAGGCGGAAUUCCCGGUGUAGCGGUGGAAUGCGUAGAUAUCACGAAGAACUCCGAUUGCGAAGGCAGCCUGCUAAGCUGCAACUGACAUUGAGGCUCGAAAGUGUGGGUAUCAAACAGGAUUAGAUACCCUGGUAGUCCACACGGUAAACGAUGAAUACUCGCUGUUUGCGAUAUACUGCAAGCGGCCAAGCGAAAGCGUUAAGUAUUCCACCUGGGGAGUACGCCGGCAACGGUGAAACUCAAAGGAAUUGACGGGGGCCCGCACAAGCGGAGGAACAUGUGGUUUAAUUCGAUGAUACGCGAGGAACCUUACCCGGGCUUAAAUUGCAGAUGAAUUACGGUGAAAGCCGUAAGCCGCAAGGCAUCUGUGAAGGUGCUGCAUGGUUGUCGUCAGCUCGUGCCGUGAGGUGUCGGCUUAAGUGCCAUAACGAGCGCAACCCUUGUGAUUAGUUGCUACGCAAGAGCACUCUAAUCAGACUGCCGUUGACAAAACGGAGGAAGGUGGGGACGACGUCAAAUCAUCAUGCCCUUUAUGACCUGGGCUACACACGUACUACAAUGGUCGUUAACAGAGGGAAGCAAUACCGCGAGGUGGAGCAAAACCCUAAAAACGGUCUCAGUUCAGAUUGUAGGCUGCAACUCGCCUACAUGAAGUUGGAAUUGCUAGUAAUCGCGGAUCAGCAUGCCGCGGUGAAUACGUUCCCGGGUCUUGUACUCACCGCCCGUCA
rnacentral:rRNA from 1 species